UUGCUUUGGCAGCACAUAUACUAAAAGUGGAACGAUACAGAGAAGAUUAGCAUGACCCCUGUGCAGGAAUGACAUGUAAAUUCGUGAAGCAUUCUGUAUUUUU
ensembl:snRNA U6 U6 spliceosomal RNA